rnacentral:lncRNA from 11 species
CUUUCCUGGCUUGCUCGCGCGCUCUUUCUCGAGCGCGCGCGCGCGCACUCCCUCCCUCACUCGGGCACGCGCGCCCAGGGAGAGCCGAACGCUGUCUUGCCAUAGAAAUGCACUGGGAAAGAGAGAUGCUAGUAGCGGAAAGGCGCUGAGGAGGAGGAAGAAGGAGGAGGAGGAAGCUCUGCUCUGAAGUAACACAGCAGCAGGUUGGCCCCCCGAGCAUCGUGGUAGGCCCCUGUUCCGCCUCGGUUGGGGAGAGACGGUGCCCGGUUCUGGAUACUGGCCGAAAGGGAAGCGCCUCCGAGCGCCUUUUGCGUCUGCGAGGAAGGUAUUUGGAAACAAUCCUGCAUAUAGGCAGAACAAUUUGCCAUUGCUAUCAUGAAGAAAAGCCGGAGUGUGAUGGCGGUCACCACAGAAGGAAAUGCUAAAGAUUACUUAGAAUGUGGUCUCAGCAAGUCCUACAGUGCAUCUAGCAACACUCUUGGUAUAGAUCUCUGGAGAGGAAGAAGAUGCUGCUCUGGUAACUUACUGUUACCACCACUGUCCCAAAGACAAAGUGGAAGUGCAAGAACACCAGACAGAGAGAACAUUUCUAGACCCACAACUUUGCCUUUGCUGAACCUUCCCAGCAUUGCCAUCACCACUUAUCAGGAUAGGAUGCAAUGA